rnacentral:snoRNA from 1 species
CACACAGCAUGGUAUCUGUGCUCAGCAGCUCCCGCCUCAAAAAACAGUGUGUAAGAAAUUCACUAUCUGGCAUUGUUGUUUUUCUUAGCUUUGCUGCCUAUUAAACCUGCUAUUUCUAUUGAUACAAUU